GAUGAACGCUGGCGGCGUGCCUAAUACAUGCAAGUCGAGCGAACAGACGAGGAGCUUGCUCCUCUGACGUUAGCGGCGGACGGGUGAGUAACACGUGGAUAACCUCCCUAUAAGACUGGGAUAACUUCGGGAAACCGGAGCUAAUACCGGAUAAUAUAUUGAACCGCAUGGUUCAAUAGCGAAAGACGGUUUUGCUGUCACUUAUAGAUGGAUCCGCGCCGCAUUAGCUAGUUGGUAAGGUAACGGGUUUCCACGGCAACGAUGCGUAGGCGAGCGGAGAGGGUGAUCGGCCACACGAGAGCGGGGACACGGUCCAUGCUCUUACGGGAGGCAGCAGUAGGGAAUCUUCCGCAAUGGGCGAAAGCCUGACGGAGCAGCGGCGCGUGAGUGAUAGAGGCCUUCGGAUCGUAAAACUCUGUUAUUAGGGAAGAACAAAUGUGGAAGUAACUAUGCACGGCUUGACGGUACCUGAUCAGAAAGCCACGGCUAACUACGUG
rnacentral:rRNA from 1 species